rnacentral:tRNA from 1 species
GUCAGGAUGGCCGAGUGGUCUAAGGCACCAGACUUAAGUUCUGGUCUCCAACUGGAGGCGUGGGUUCGAAUCCCACUUCUGACA